CAUUAGAGAAUCAGUGAAAAAGAAUGUGCGUUGACCUGAUGUCAAACGAAAUCUUUCCUCCUGAAAAGGAACUGAUUGUGUAUUCUUCAGUGUUUCCCGACACCGAAUGUAUGCCAACUUCAAGAGCUGACAAAGAGAAUGGAAGUAAAGGCCAUGGUGUUACAGGUAACGAGUUACACUGAACGAAGAACAACUGCACAGCCACCAGUGUUCGUAGAUAUCUGCGACAACAGCAUCGUGCCAGAAUUUGCAAGUCAUCUGUUUAUUGGGACUGCUAGUGAUCACCUUCAUUCUGCCUGUGUUUUGGCGACGAAAGGUGCCCUCACACCAUGGUCACAUCGACAUAGAAGCCGAGACUUUAUCCUAUUAGAAAAGCUUGCUGUACAUGAUAUCAAACGCUUUCCGCUAGGGCGAAGAUCGUCUCGCCCGAAUGCCACUUUCAUUAUGCAAAGUAGGGCAAGCGGAUCGUACGAUAGCAAAUCGUUUAAUGUCACCGAGACGAACGUGCCGGCUACUGCAUUUUGCCGGUUAAAUAUGCAAGUCGUACGUUUGUCUACAUGUUCUUUUUCUUUUUCUUUCUUUAUCAAGAUUAUAUAGCUACCCUUUGCUAGCAAAGUCUUCCCAGACGAUACGCUAAAGUCCUGAUACGGAAUGACUGUCUGCCGUCAUUGUGUUCUUUGGCCGCCGUAGUGGAAAAACAUACGCGUGGAUUUUCAGCCAAUUCAGCCGGGCAUUGAAUUUAUUGGCUCUUUUAUAUUCGGAUGGGUCCCCAGACAUCAACCGAAUGCAAAGGUUGCUACCCAGUUUGUCUACGUUGCAAAUUCCACGUACGCAAAGUUGUCCUGCUGCUACCCAAAUUUAAUAAAAAACUUAACAGCUGAUCCAGAGUACUAUAUAAGACGGAACGCUACGGGAAAUGUUUCAGAAGUUCUUAGACGUCUUCGACCAGCAUCGGUUACAACAUCUUUUAUUCGUACUGAAAUGUUGUCCAGUUUUUCUUUGAUGCUCGCUGCUGUUUUGUUGGCGCAAAUCAGCCGGGCUUGUGAUGGUGAUAACGAGGAACAACUCCUUACGAUGCAGGAUCCGGAAGUUUCUUACGCCCGAGCCUACGGCUAUACUCCUGAUACGUGGAACGCCCUAGACAACCAACCAGCGAGUGCUGGUUCACCAGAUGAUGGCUAUUCGAAUCUGUACGAAGGGAGGACACGUAACAAGCAGCAACACGUCGUUAAGACGUUACAUUCCGCUGAAAAUGGUGUGCAGUCAAAAGGGCGUUUGGCUCUCGGUGGUCUGGGUGCUAACUUGAUAAAUGCCGGCUUCUUCAACAAUCGAUUUACACCGGCCAAUACUUGGAGACCGUUUGCCACACUCGCCAAUCGCAUUCCAGUUUCUUUUAAUCCCAAUUUUGACAACAUGUUUGAUAUGUUCGAGACUUGCGUUUCACCCAACGGUGACGCUGGAAUAUGUGCACCAGGCUCAGUUUGUUCUGUUUUCGGUGGACGGCCGACUGGUUCCUGUAGUUUUGGAAAAGUCUGCUGCAUCAAUACGAUCAACAAAUGCGGAGGUGUUGUCACUUUAAACAACACCUACUGGCAGAAUCCGUCUACGCCAAUUGAUGCUCCAUCUUCCUGCUCGUUGACGGUGAGGACGGACACGAAACUCGCGGAACAAUCAAAGAAACCAAUUUGCCAAAUUCGUUUGGAUUUCAUCUCUUUCACAAUUGCCCAGCCAACAGCCGGAAAUUGCGUAGAUACAUUUAAGAUUGGCGAGGCAACUACAGUGGCGCCCACCAUCUGUGGUGACAAUAGCGGACAGCACAUGUACCUUGACGUCCCAUCGUCGGCCAUUACCCCCAGCAACGUUCAGUUCAUGUUUACUUUUGCAGCCGAGACAGCCAGUCGUUCGUGGAACAUCAAAAUCGCAAUGCUACCUUGUGGUGCUUCUUACCUCGCUCCAGUGGAUUGCUUGCAAUAUUUCACGGCCGUUAAUGGGAAAGUACGCUCUUUCAACUGGUUGGAUGUUACAAGCACAACGACACGCCAAUUGAACAACCAAGAUUACAAUAUUUGCUUCAGGACUGAACUGAUUUCCGGAUUGAAAGCGACGCAGAUGUGCCUGUCGGUUUGUCCAGUCAGGAAUGGCGACGCGUUUUCCAUCACGACGCCCACCACUACUCCCGCUGCCGUUGCGGCGGCUGCGGUCGUAGCUGCCCAGAAUACUCUCACAGCUUCACUAGCCAUUCAGGCCGUCGCCCAAGCGGCUUUUUUAACCGCUGGAGCUGGCGCUACGGCAGCCCAAGUCCAAGCUGUUAAUGAUGCAAAUAUUGCUGUUAGAAAUGACCAGGCCGUUCUCGCAUCCGCGCAGGCUACUUCCGUUGCCGCCAAUGCUAAUGCGGCAACGCUCUCCGGUAUUGGCACAAGUGCAUUCAUCAAUGCAGUUAAUACUGCCACCUGCCUGUACGAUUUCCUCCUCAUCGGUGGAGCUCGAGAUGCAAAUGAUGUGGGGGCCGAUCGCUAUUGCGGAAAUGCAAUCAAUCCGGCCCUCAUUCCGGUAGCGAUUAGUACUCAAAUCUGCACUCCAGUUAGACCAUUCCGCAUUACAUACCAUACGGAUGGUACCGAAGCGGCUGUGGCUGCUCGGACAAACGUCCUUCCGGUGCCGGCCGAUACAGCCAAUACUGGUUUCUGUCUUAACUACGAAGAAAAAUGAGGAAAGCAACACGAUCUGUGAAUAUCUUAUUUUGCUAAGCAGAAUCCCAAAUAAGUUCCGUUGGUACUAAUUAUUUCAUGGUGAGGGGUUUAUUUAAACUAAGGAUUUUCUAAUAUUAGGCUAAUGCAUUUCAGUUUGGCGGGAAAUCGGUUAGCCUUCAUGUAAAGUUUUUUAGAAGCAACUGAUUGCACUAUUUGCUUUUGCCUGGGAUGAACAGAAAUUUGGAUUUCUUAAAAAUAUAAGAAAAUUAAGAAUAGUUUUGAUCGCGAGAAAUUACCGGCCAAAGCUGUGAAACAUGUGAAAUACUCUUGAUCAUAAAAUGGGUGCUUCAAGUUUGACAAGCUGUUGACUAUACCUUUGACACAAUAAGAAGACACUAACCGGAAUUGGAUUGAUACCCAGCUACACAAACAUCAGUGCCAAGGAAGGUAAGUGACCUCUUCACGAUAGCAAACGGUAUAAUGAGGCGUAGAACCUUGACAAUCUGAAACAUUGCGUUUGUUUUGCCAACAGAGUUCUUUGAUCUUUUCAUCAUUUAGUCCUUUUUCAGAUGGUGAACCGGUGUCGGAAUAGAAGGGAUUCCUUGAACACUGUUGGUUGAAAUACUACAUUCACCCGAGAGCGCUACAUAAAGAACGGGAUGAAUCGCUGUCCCUUCAUUCCUUAAUUUUUAGAUUUCGCCCACAGCAAAUUUACUGCUCGAAUUAAUAGCCAUUUAAUACCUGAAUAGCCAAGGAAGAAAAAACAACAAUCAAAAUAAC